GCGGGUAUGGUGAAAUUGGCAUACACGUUGGAUUUAGGAUCCAAUGGCCGUGAGGCUGUGCAGGUUCAAGUCCUGUUACCCGCACCA
rnacentral:tRNA from 1 species